rnacentral:rRNA from 1 species
AACGAACGCUGGCGGCAUGCCUAACACAUGCAAGUCGAACGAGACCUUCGGGUCUAGUGGCGCACGGGUGCGUAACGCGUGGGAACCUGCCCUUAGGUUCGGAAUAACUCCCCGAAAGGGGUGCUAAUACCGGAUAAUGUCUUCGGACCAAAGAUUUAUCGCCUUUGGAUGGGCCCGCGUUGGAUUAGCUAGUUGGUAGGGUAAAAGCCUACCAAGGAGAAGAUCCAUAGCUGGUCUGAGAGGAUGAUCAGACACACUGGGACUGAGACACGGCCCAGACUCCUACGGGAGGCAGCAGUGGGGAAUAUUGGAAAAUGGGCGAAAGCCUGAUCCAGCAAUGCCGCGUGAGUGAUGAAGGCCUUAGGGUUGUAAAGCUCUUUUACCCGGGAUGAUAAUGACAGUACCGGGAGAAUAAGCACCGGCUAACUCCGUG